rnacentral:rRNA from 1 species
GAGGAAUAUUGGGCAAUGGAGGCAACUCUGACCCAGCCAUGCCGCGUGCAGGAAGACGGCCCUAUGGGUUGUAAACUGCUUUUAUACAGGAAGAAACUUAUCCACGUGUGGAUAACUGACGGUACUGUAAGAA